CUGUGUUUGGCAAAGGGUGGGUGCGUGCGUCGUCGCAGGCAAGCCGCCAAGCACUAGCUCCUCCCUCUGCUCUGCUGAUACUGAGACACAGACACACAACACUACUCUCUCUUUCCAUCCCUGCGCGUCGUGCACCUCGUUCCAUGUAUCUGUCAGCCUGUUCGUACGCGCGCGGGGCAGGAGGUGCCGUAAUUUCGUUUCCUUUGCGUCUUGACAAGGGGCGCCGCGCGCUACCCCGCCAGCUUCUGCUUCCCUGUGGCGGUCCGUGCUCUCCGUUUCAUCUCCUCAUGCAUUACUAAUUUUGUUUCACGGGGCAUUUGUAUCGUCAUGGAGAAAGAAACUUCUCCAUUCCGUCCCCGGAGUCUAUGGCCGUGAGACCUCUGGCCCGCAACGUCAUGGACAGCUACCACCGUCGUCCGGAGGACGUACGACUGCACGAGCGUCCACCCCACGGUUUGCGACAGGCGAAGGGACCGAUGCUCUGUACGGCGUCGGAUCCAAGGUCGACGUGUGCGGGGAGGGAAUCUCGAUGGGACGACGAAUGACGGAUCGAGGGAGAGAGAUUCCCGACGGCGUGGCAAAUGUGACGCACUAGCGUGACUUGCCUUUUUCUACAGGAGCGACUGAGCGAGCAGUCCCGCCGGCGAGGCGGCGACUGGGCAGCGGGGUAGGUGACCGGCCGGCGCUUCAACGAUUUCUUCAUUCACAUCAGUUCACGUGACUCCCGUAGGCCGUAACCGCGCUGAGACAUCCGAGGAGCAAGACGUCCACGCGACCACGUCAUGGCUUGUCCUUGUAGCUGUGGCCGCCCCAUGGGGCGAGCAGGGUAGUACGUACCGCCCUGUCGCCGCGGUGCUGUGCUGAGCGCGAAAGCAUUUUGCUCAAAUUAUUACCGCGCCAUUAAAACCAGUGGUGUCAGCGCAGCGCAGGAGAGGAGGGCAUGUUCCUUUGUCACUCAGGGUCAGGGAGCAUGCGCGCUGCAUUUCCACAACGGUCAGCUGUACUUGGUGCCUUACUGGUCAAACUAGUGUCAUGAUGGACGGA
rnacentral:lncRNA from 7 species